CCUACGGGUGGCAGCAGUAAGGAAUUUUGCGCAAUGGGCGAAAGCCUGACGCAGCAACGCCGCGUGAUCGAGACGCCCUUCGGGGUGUAAAGAUCUGUCAGUGGGGACGAAACUUGACGGUACCCACAGAGCAAGCACCGGCUAACUCCGUGCCAGCAGCCGCGGGAAUACGGGGGGUGCCAGCGUUGUCCGGAAUCAUUGGGCGUAAAGAGUUCGUAGGCGGCACGUAAAGUCAGGUGUUAAAGGCAGAGGCUCAACUUCUGUACGGCACUGGAUACUUGCGAGCUAGAAUGCAGUAGCGGUAAAGGGAAUGCAUGGUGUAGCGGUGAAAUGCUUAGAUAUCAGGAGGAACAUCGGUGGCGAAAGCACUUUACUGGGCCGUAAUUGACGCUGAGGAACGAAAGCCAGGGUAGCAAAUGGGAUUAGAUACCCGUGUAGUC
rnacentral:rRNA from 1 species